AUACUAUUCAUUAUAUAUAUUUCAGAAAUCUCUUCAACCUCCACUGCCAGGAGACUUAGCUAUAAGUUUUUAUGUGCAGUCUCAUAAACUAGUAUUUGAUGUAUAUCAUAUUUUAUCCAAAGAAGCUCAGGGACCACUUAAAUUUGAUGUCUUUCAGGCUGAGUCAUCUGUUCCUUGGCUAAGUGAAGUUUUAGUUCUGUUCACUGUAUCAUUGCAGUUGUGUCAACAGCUGAAAGAUAAAAUUGCUGUGUUUGCUCAGUACAAAGAAAUGAAUAUGAUAUAAUAAAUGUACUUCAUGUGUAUGUUACAAGUUUAUGAUUUUUGUUAAGAUUAAAUAUAUGUUUGAUUGUAUUGUUGAAAGGUAACAAUGCCUUAAAAAUUGGAGUUUUGUAACUAAAAAACUGUGAGUGGUAGUUUUGAGAUGCUAGUUUGUACUAACUGUGCAAUAUGUUAGUCUUAUGCAGUGUUGAUAGUAUGUAUUAAUUGCAACAUAUUGUUUUGAUGUACUGUGUUUUAUAACUUUUGCUGUGCAUUUUGUGUUAUAAAAUAUUGUUGGUACUAAUGUAAUUUCAUAUGUUAAACAUUGACCUAAUUUCUUACUCCAAGAUAACAUUUUUGUUCUAUAUCACUGCGAAAACAAUUGAGUUCAGUGUGUGUGUAUAUAUGUAACCAAUCUUGUAUUUCUUAUAAUUUUUUUUUUUUCUUUGGGGGGGAGAACAGAUAUUCUCCUCUCUUUCUUUUUUUUUUUUUUUUAAUCCAAAUUUUUCUCCAUUAGAAAAGAAUUACUUUUUGGGGGGCAUAAACAUUUCAUAUGGUCAUAAAAAAAUUAUAACUUUUUAAGAAAUAAAUAAAUCAAUUAUAUGGAUUUUUAUAGUAAUAUCUUACCUUGAGUGACAUGUUAGUUUAUUUUUUGUUGUUAAGCAUUCGAUUACUAAUGCAUGUCCGCUGCUAAACUAGAAAUCUUGUAUGUAUUAAAAAAAAAAGUAUGGUUCUUAGAAUUUUGCAACUCCUUCUUUUAAUGAAUAUUUCCUGUUACCUAAAGGUAUUUUUUAUAAAUUGGCAUCUGUAAUUUUUAUAUGACGUUGAAAUUACAAUCAUAAUAUACAUAUAUGUGUGACACAUUACUUGACUGAAGCAUUUGAAGAUGAAUAUAAAAGAGUAGUAUGCCAAUAAUGUCCAGAAGAUAAUAUGUUUCUGAAGCUAAGAUCUCUGUUAAAAAAAUGAAAACAAUUAUUUUAGCCUGUUUUAAAGCAAUUUUGUUGAUUUAAUUAUCAUGUGCAACUGAGACCAGAGUUUGUUUUUAAAUAUGUAAUAUUAAAGGAAAAUUUCAUGUUUAUAAAAUAAAAGAUUUGCAAAUAUUUUUUUUUUCUCAGUUAGUCCUUUUUAGGGAGGAUAGAGUAGUAUAUGCUAUAUAUUUGCUGAAUUUUUAGCAUUAUUUAUUAAAAUGAAGAAAUAGUAAAUGGUAUUAAUCAGGUAGCAAUUUUUAUGAUGGUUAUAAUAAUGCAGCAAAUGUUUUAGCUGUAUAAUUAAUUAUUGUCCAUAUAUUGAUAGUCUUAAAAAUGCUUAGGCAUACAAAAUAUUUUGGAUUUCUAAUAAAAUAUUUUUUAUUUUUUUCCUUAAUCUUAAAAAUACUACUUUUAAGGUGGUAUAGUAAAAACUAAUGCAAAAGUUGUUUUUUCCCCAUUUGCGGGCACUUAGCUGACUUAGGUUUUAUUGUGGAUGCACCUAAUUUGUCAGCCACCAUUUCCAAAGAACAUCUAUGUAAAGAAGAAAAGGCUUCAUAGACGUAAUGUAAACCAAUUUGUCUUUUACGCCACUAGAAAGCAGAGAGAAAAUUCGCCAAGGGAUUUGGCAACAGAACCUGUUGGCGAGAAUUCCCCCCUCUGUGGUGUACCGGACCUGGCCAAGAUUUUCCUCCUUCUCAAAGUGUACAGUAAAUUGAGGAACACGGGUUAAGAUGAAUAAGAAAAUCAAGUGAAGUUUUACUUUCAAUGGCUAUUGAACUUGCAUUAUCCAUAUCUCAGUUUAAUAUCUGAUUUUAUAUCCGUCAAUAUGAAGGGGGGAAAAUUGAGUCAUACAGCUUUAAACUCUUGAUAAACCUGACCAUUGAACCUGUUCGAACUUUGACAUAAGCUUUGAACUUAGGUGCUUUUUGGCAACAAAGAUUUCACGCAUGCAUGUGCAUUUCCCUUUUUCUUCGAAGGGAGCCACUUCUGGUGCUGUGAAGUUUUCCUUCUUAACAAUACAUUUUUUUUUACCAUUACCUCCUAUGAAGGGACAGACAACAAUUUAAACUAGGCCCAUUGGUACCACAGUAUGCUUCCCUACCCAUUAUACCAUCUAGGCAGCACUAACACAAAAGUAAUAUUUCCAAAUUAUGUAUUGGGAUAUAAUAUUUUACCUCCUUUUAGUUUUGUAGUUAAAAAAAAAGCUGUUGUUAAAAUUAUUUUAUUUCUUUUGCUAUUAUAAUUUCUUCUUUAGUAUUCCUCCUUAAGGACAAAAUUUAUUAAUUUAGUGAUAAAUUAUGGCAGUUUUUAACUUUCCAGCCAUCCAAAUGUUUCUUUACUUUCCCCAUGAAUAUCUCAAAACCCUAUGAGGUAAACAUAUUUUUUUCAUUUUACACUUUCUACCUAAAUCCUUUUCCUUGUGAUAUGCUACCUUAUAUAGCUUGGGUAUGUUUAAAGGUGCAUGUGUAUGUAUUUGAUUAAAGAUAUCAUUGGAUAUGUGUAACAUAUGGUUUAGAUAAUUUGGAAGGUAAUUAGAAGAUCUGAAUUUAAUUGAGAGUUCAGUUAAAUAACUGUUGGAAUUAAAUAAUAAGUUGAAAUGAAAAACUGUUUUGACUAGAAAUAAAGAACUAAAAUGAAGGAUGAAAAGAACUAUUUUAUGUUGAAAUAAAGAACUAAAAUGUUAUAACUGCUUAUUUCAUGGUUUAGAAUAUUAAAAUGUACUGUUAAUGAUUAUUUUUUGUCCUGAAUACUUAUUUAUUUUAUUGAGAUUAAUUUAUAGAUCUUAUAUAUAUAUUGAUAUUUGUAUAUACACACAUAUAUAUGUAUGUAUGCAUGUUUGUAAUCUAAGUGGAUUAAUUUUUUGGAAGGAGAGGGAAGUUCAAAAAAAAUAUUCGGGUUUUCUAACAUUUAUUUCCUAAACAGGAGAAAGGAAAAAACGUGCAUACCUCCUUUGAGUUUGAAUUUGAUAUUUUCCUCACUCUAUUGUCCCUUUUUUGCACAUAGUUUUAUUAAGAAAAGUUUCAGGUAGAAAUGUGACUCAAAUCUUUUUUUCUUGUUAAAAGAAGGCUGUAGUUUUAUUAAGAAAAGUUUCAGGCAGAAAUGUGACUCAAAUCUUUUUUUCUUGUUGAAAGAAAGCCUUUCUUACCUAAAUGUGAAUUGAAUAUGUAAAUAAUGUUGUUUAAUAAUUAUAUUAAACAUUUUCUUAAAUUUGUACAUAACUUAUAUUGUUUCUCAGAUUAUUAUAUAAAAAAUUAUUAAAUAUGUUUAAUUUUAUUUUAAAAAAAUAUUUUUUUGAUGAUCCUUGACCUCAGUUUAAACAUUUAUUAGAACUGCUAUGAUUUAAAGUUUUUUUUUCUUUUCUUUUUGUGACACUAGCCAACACAACACAACCCUAGCAUGCAUAUAGACGUGUAUGAGUACAUGGGAAUUUUUAUGCUUUAAGCAAGCUAUUUAGACUUCGUUUUCUGAUCAAUUGUCCCCUCCACCAUGCGCACUCUUCUUUUUUUCCUUGUAAUGCAUUAUAAUGGCAGUGUGAAGUUCACUGGCUAAGGAGUAAGAUAAUGUUGUAUUCCUUCAGAAAUUUGGUUUUUGUCUCAACAAUAGACAACAUGAAAAUUUUCAUUCUGUAUCAUUGUGCUUCCUAAAAACUGAACUUUAGGAACUUUAGAAAUGCAGUGUAAAAAACUACAAGCAAAGUGUUAUAAUCCUAGUUGGAAUUAUUUUGGAGAAAAUUAGAGAACAGUGGGGUGGACUUUCUUUGUAGGGGUGCAGGUCAUCAGAGAGUACAAGAAACUUGCAUAUUAAUUUAUAAAACUAACUUACUGAGCACAUAAUAAUUUGGGUCAUUAAUGAGCUUGGCUUUCCUUAUCAUACCUUUUUCUCAUAAAUAAGGAUAAUUAUUUUUAAUUCUAAGAUUUUUCAACAAUAUAUUUAAAAAAAGGUCCUCUUUUCUGCAAAGAAAAUCAUUCUAAAAUAAUUUACACUAGUUUGUUCUUGAAAUUCAUCAAGCUUUUUUAAUUGAAAGUUUUUUAAUGAUAUAAAAAAGACCUAAUUAUAAGGUUUUAAUGUCAAAUGAGCAAAGAAAUUGCUGAAUUUAUGAGGGUGAUAUAAUAAUAACUCUUUUUGUUUUGGAAGAAGAAAUUCUUAAGUAGAGUAUUAAAUGGAACUUAGCAUGUAAAUAUAAAUUUUUUUCAUUAUGACUUCAAAUUACACAUCUGAAAUAAUUUAUAUUGUAUAUGUCAAGCUGUAUCAAAAUAAUUGAAACUUCUUGGAUCAACAAAGUGAAAAGCAUAAAUGAAAAUUUUCUGCAAUUUCUAGAUGCUCAGUUUGUUGGACAAGAAAUUGGAUUCUCUAAAGUGGCCUUAAAUCUAGAAAUAGUGAUAUUGGUUAUAAUUCUGCACAGAUACCAGAAUUUCAAAGCCAUCAUUAUGUCUCUGUUAAAUGAUAGUAAAGCAUUAAUCUAAAAUUAACAUAAGGGCUUGACUAGUGAUGUGGACCAUGCUAGAGAUUAUUAAACUGUGCAUUUAUUCCUAGAGUAGUGAAUAGUUAUAGAAUUUGUGUAAUUUAGUUAGCUAUUUUAACAUAGAAAUGAAGUAGUAAUUAUUUGUGCAAUUAAAAAUAGAUGGAAUUUUUUUAAUAUUGGAUAUUUGAAGAAAAGAAUUCUAAGAAUGACUUAAAAUAUGGAAAAUAUGUGGAUAUUAAUUUUAUGGUAAUUUCAGUUCAAGCAUUUAAUCUGUAUUUCAACAGAUCAAAAUUAUAUAAUGCAGAGAUUUUAAUAAGUUAUGAAUUAAUAUGCUUCAAUUCUUCGUAUCAAAUUACCUUCAAAAUUAAUCAAAAUUAAAAUCAUUAGAUGCUAAAAUUAAAAACAUGUUACCAAAAAAAAAAAAAAAAAAUACUGUGCUUUCAGGGUCUUGGACUAAAAGCUCUACUCAUUCUCUUCAUAGCAGUCUAUUUUUGAUUUUCAUUCAAAUGAUUAAUAGAAUCUGAAUAAUCUAAUUAUUUCAAAACUAAAAAUCUCAUUAAGUCUUUUUAAGAUAGAGACUUAGAAGAAUAAAGACUCUUUUAAGAAUGGAGAGGGCAUAAAUGUAUAUUUAGUUUAUAAUUAAUGAAUUCAUCUUUAAUAUGUAAGAUUUUCAUUUAUAAACCGAUGAAAAAAUAGAGCCAAAAAUAGGAGAGGCGUGAUGAUUAGAAUGCAAUGAUACCAAGUUAAUAUUAUUAAAAUUAUUAACUGAAAACUCUCACCAAAUAGAGAACAAAGUGGAAGAGGGAUCUAAGAAAGGCCCAUCCUAGAUUGUCAUGCCAAUAGAAAAAUCAAAGAAGCUUCUGAGUGACUGAAAGAAAUCAGGAUUUCCAACAUAAUUUUUUGUUUGUUAGAAUAUAAAUAUUUCUAUUUUGUACCUGUAUGUAAAGAAUGUAUGCUCAUGGCAGAAAAUUCUGGUUUGAUAGAUAUAACACUUUUAUUGUUAAUUAAAACCAGUAGUUAUUAUUGAUGCUAAUAUGAAUUACUGCUGGUUAAUAGAGAAAGAUAAAGGGCAUUAUGAUUAGCUGAUAACAAGUUCUUGAAAUUCACUAAUCUCUUUUUCUGUUUGUGGUACUUGUCUUUCAUUUAGGUAUGGCUGAAGAAGGGAAUACUAGUGAAUUACUAAAGGCAUUUCUAAUAAAAUAAAAUCUAUGCCAAUUAUCACCAGUUUUCUUAUAGAAAGUUUUACUUGGCAUGCCAAUUCUUCCCCCAAGAAUUCCUAGAGAAAUGAGUAAAUUGACUAAAGGAAAUAUUGCAUAUAAUGAAACUAUAAUUUGAGAAGAAAUUUUUUAUAAUUCAGAUUUAAUUCAAAUAAUUUAUGACUCAUCAGAAUUUUCAAAUAGGAUGGAAAAUUUAUAUUUUUAAGUGUAAUUUUUUAAUUUAUAAUUUUAAGUGUGCAAUUAUAUUCUUUUCACAGUGCAGCUACAAUUCAUUUCAUCUGGUUAACAUUAGGUAUUCAGUUUAAUAUGUUGUUGUUUUCUACUUAAUCUUUUUUUAGAAAUGAACAUUCUUAAUUUACAUUGAUUAAAGAAUAUGUGAGUACCUCUAUGUAUAUAUCUAGAAACUUAAUUUUCAUAGUUAUAAAUGUUUAAAAAAGAUUUCAGCAAUUAAUUUUUAUAUUUUUUAUUAAAAUUUGCAUAAAAAAAUUUAAAAAAUCAUUCAUACAUUUUGACUGAAUGUAAUUAAUUUUUAUAUCUUACCAGUUAAAGUUUUUAUUAAUUUAUGUAGUUUUGUGGUAAGGUUACUUAUGUUUCAGAGGCAAAACUAUUGUUCAUAAUUUUGCCAUACAAAGUUAAAAAUUAUGUCAUAUCAUAACAUGGAAAAAAUAUGUGCCCUGCAUUAUUUAAUAAAUGAUGAUUAACAGUCAGAUUAAUAAAAUAUCUGGUACUUCAUUUGCUGUAUGUAAUUUGAGAUUCACUUUUACAUGUUCUUAAUAAUGGGGGAAAUUUUAUUAUAAGUGAUAUUUCAAUUGUAAUUUGCAAAUUUUUAACAGGAGUAAUAAUAAUUUAAGACAAACUAUAAGCUAAAUUUAUCAAUAGUUAACAUUUAAGGUUUAGCAUAAUUAAUACAUACAUAUUACAGCAAAUUAGAUUUUAUGCUAAAAUCGUAAUAAAUUAAUUUUCCAUCCUUUCUUUGAAAUAGAAAGUAAAUACCCCUGAAUACAUUUAAGUCAGUUUUUAAACUAUCCUUUUUUUCAUUUAAAGUAUGUCUUCAUUAUCAAUUUCUAGAAUGAUUUAGAACAUAUCAUCAGAACUUGCUAAAUUUUUUUCAGUUAGAUUUUAAAAAUUUAUGGCUGCAGAUUUUGUUAAAGAGCUGAAUUAUUUGAUUAUAGUGAAGCAGACAAGGGCUGUCUGCAUAUGGAAAAAGUUGCCCCCAUGAAGAUUUUCCAAAGAAAACUGUCUCAUAUUGAUAUUGCAUAUGAAGAAAAUCAUAAAAGCAUUAUGUACUACCAAGAAUAAGAUUGUGAAGUGGAAUAAAGAGUUUUCCUUGUCUCUUGGUAUUCUGCUAUUUGUAAAUUUGUUAUAGUAUUGCAGUUUUGAUUAAUUUAAGAAUUUAUUGCUUAGAGCCUAAAGCUGUAUUCAGUUCAAUUAUUUGGUUUGUCAAAACUUAUGGUACUGAAAUAUUAACACAAAACCUUGGUGCAAUUUGGGGGGUUGAAUCUUUUUUUUCUAUAGAAAGAUUCCAAAAUCGUUGGUAUUUAUCUAAAGUCGGUAAACAUUAUCAUCAUAUAAAAAGAAUUAGCAAUUUAAAAUACAAAUUUGAGUUAUUAAAUAAGGAUUACGUGAUGCAUUAAAAAAUAAAACACUUAAAUUCUUCCUCAAAUAUUUCUGUAUUUUUUUUUUUUUUUUUUGCACUAUUCUUUUCCCAAAAUACACAACAAUCUGUUUUUGCUUUAAAAAAAAUAGAGAAUUGCAAAGACUUGGCUUUGAACAACCCUCGGCAGCAGGCUAUCUGGGAAAUGUAUUUCCUCAUUGUUCCCUUUAAAUAUUUUUCAGAAAAAUUCUAUAUACUUACAGAAAUUUUACUGCAAUUUCUUCCAUUGCUGGCAAAUUCCACAAGUCACUCGAGAACAGCAAUUUCAUUGUUCGCUUGAUUUUGACUAGCUUUUGGCCUCUGAAUCCGAAAAUAACCUCAGUUUUUGUCUAUCCUGUUAACUUUAAGCCACAGGAUACUUCAGAAGUCACAUAAAAUGUGCAUAUAAAAGAAAAUAAAGGGAAAACUUACCAAAUAUAUUGAAUAGCUUGGAAUUAUAUGCCAAUGCAUCGUUGCAUUGCAGAAACUAAAUAUUGGUUUUUUAAGUCUAAUAUGCUGAGUUCUCUUCUAAAGUUUGUCUAUUGCAUCUUUAAAAUGUUAAGUUCAUAUCUCUCCAGAAAUGCAGUACCUUUACUGUACUUUGUAAGAUAAUGUUUUAAAGGAUGAUGCAGAUGAAAAGAUUUUUUCCCCCUUCUGUAACAUAUGUAGGUAUUGAAAGAAUGUGAGAUUAUUUAAAAUCUGAUUACAGGUAGCCAUGACUGCUCAUCAUCAUAUUUUCAAGCUUGAGAACUAAGGACAUACAUUUAAAGGUUCAAACCUGACCAUUUUUCAUUUCUGUUAUUUAGAUGAAUAGGUUUAAUAUACUCGUGCAAGUUCUCAUAUUCCUAUUUCCUGUUAGAAGAUUGAACUGUGCAGGUUUGAGUUACAGUGUUUUAUUAUUUUAUGACCCAUUUUCACUUGGUGUACAUUUUGAAAACUUCUCUUGCUGUAAAUUAUAAAUACAAAGCAGGUUAUCAUGGGGGCACAAACUGCACUUUAUUUUAAAGAUUUGUUAGUCUUUCAUAUGUGCCUGAAGAGUUAAAUUUUAGGUAUAUGUAAUGUAACUGUAUAACAUAUGUUAUUUACUUUGUUUAUUUUUUAAUAAGAAGAGCUGGAUAAAUGUUUGGUUGAAGUAUAUUUUGGUUAAUUUUCACUCAGAAAAAUUAAUUGUUAUGAAGAUUUCUUUAUUUUCAUAUAAGGCAUUGUAUGUGAAAAGAGCGAAUCCACUAAUUAUUUCUUGGAGAAAACGAGUCUAAAUUUCAUAUCUUCAGUAGGUACUGCAUAUAAUAUAAGAAAUUUGGUAGUAAAUCUUUUCUAUCAGAAAACUCUAAAAUAUAUAAAUUAAAAACUGCUCUCUAGCUCAGUGCUUCUCAAAUUUUUAGCCUUGCUACACUGCAAAUUACCAAGAAACCCCAUGUGAAGGAAAUGAUGAGAGAAAGGAUUUAUAGAAAGAAAUACUGUAAUAAUGAAAUUGUUAUAAUAUACAUAACUGUUUACAAUUUUAAAUAAAAAUUCAUAAUUUUAUAGCAAAACUAAAUCUAGGAAUCGCUCUUCAUAUUGAUUUCUCUUUUUACAUAAAUUGCCUGUCAUGUUCUAUAAAGAACUUAAAUUUAUUAAAAUUUGUUUUUCAUAUUAUUCAUUUUAUAAAUGUAAAAUAUUGUGCAAGAUGAGUUUUGAGAUUUUUCUCUUAAUGUUAUGCUGAUUGUUGAAGAACUAUGAGGUGUCUAUAUAUAUAUAGUGAUCAUGUAUCUAUAGCAUCAUGGCAAUCUUACCAUGUCUUCCAUCUCUUUUGUCUACUACAUGCUAACCCUGGCUUGGAGGAUAGAAGAUAAUAAAGUUGCCUUUUUUUUAAAAAA